rnacentral:lncRNA from 1 species
GGAUUGGGAUAUUCCGACUCCUUAAGGGCCUGGCGCACAUAAGGUGUGACCUUUUCAUUCCCGUUGUUAUGGAGGGCCACAUCUGCCAGAGCCUGGAGUCUGCGAAGGCCGGGACCCGGUUCCCCGGCCCACAGUGGGGGUGUGCAAACCCGAGAGAACUGGGUUGCAAAUUCGUGAAGAAUCAGCAUCAUGUUUGGCAGCUGAGUAUUGGAGCCAGGAGCCUGCCAUGAGGUUUUGAGAACAGAGUGCUGUUUUAGAGCUGGCAGCAGCAUCUCAGCCCAAGAGAAGGUUAUAUUCCCAGAGGAUGUCAGUCCCAAGGACCAGUAGCUGCCAUCAGUUUGGAUUCUGAAAACUAACUGGCAUCAACACUGGGUGUAGAAACAUGCUUGCCUUAUGUAUCAGAGGACAUGCUCAGCAGAUCCAAGAGAUAUAUUUGGCAACUUUUUCUAGAAAAGGCACAUUGGGUAUCAUUCAUUACAUUCUUGAGUUUUUUUGGGUUUUUUUUUUUUUUUUUGAGACAGUCUUGCUGUAUUGCCCAGGCUGGAGUGUGGUGGCACAAUCACAGCUCAUUGCAUCCUCAAUCACCCAGGCCUAAGCAAUCCUCCCACCUUGUAGCUGGGACUACAGCUCACAGCACACCUGGCUAAAAUUUUUUUUUUGUUGAGACGGAUUCUCUAUGUUGCCCAGGCUGGUCUCAGGCUCCUGGGCUCAGAUGGUCCUCCUGCCUCAGCUUCCAAAGGCACAGGCCAAGUUGUAGCUUUGUCCCUUGCCAUCAUGCCCAACAAGAGGUUCUAUACCUUUUAAUGAAUUGACUUUCAUAAAUUGGUUAUGUUGGUGGGCAAAGUUCUUUAAGCUGGAAAUUGUAAAUUCCUCCUGAAAUGUUUUUUCAUGCAGUUACCAUGAACUAAUACUACAAUAAAGGAUGGUCUUGGGUGUCAAUUCUUGAAAA